CAAUGUUAUAGAUAAAAAGUUGAAUGUUGAAGACAGAAAAUGUAUAGGUUGAAGAAGAUAGUAAUGCAGCAGGUAUUUUAAAAAGAUUUGAAAUUACUAAUCUGUUCAAAAUGUAGUAGAUCUAUAUGUAGCUAGAUAAUAAAUUAUUGUGGUAAGUGAAACUACUAAGAAGGUGAUGAAAGCGCUAAUUUUGAUUUCAUCAAGCUUACUUACACAAAUAAUUGAUUUCCAUGGUUGUAAGAAGGUGAUGAAAGCGCUAAUUUUUUUAACAAGUGUUUCAAAUCACAAGAUCUUAGAUAAACAUGGUCACCAGAAGAAGUGGUAAGUUUUCUUUGAAUUUAUGUUGAAAAUAUUGUUGCUUAGUUGUCAUAUUUAUUAGGAUUUGUUUCCCUAUUUUUUAGGAGUUGUUACAGGGAUUUAGGUGGUUAAAUUACAGAUUUUUUUAAAUUAUAGUAACAAAUCAAGACUACUAUGAGAACAUAUGCUUAAGUUUUAAUCUAAGUUUUAAAAAUUCUUAGUUUAAUUGCUAAAAACUUUUGAAAAAAAUGGCUAUGAUAUCUGAAAGUUGAUAAAUAUGAGACACAAAUUAUUUCACAAGGUCACAUAUAUGAGUGAAAGUAACCAAUUUCAAAUUCACAUUGCUUUGAUUUUUUUUAUAGAAUUGUCAAUUACUCUUAGUGUGAUCAUUAUGAAAAAUGCUUGCAUGGACCAAACAAAUUUGAAUCCAAUUUGGUCACACUCACAUAACAACACAUAUCAUUUAAUUAUUUUAAAAUACACAUUAUUUAAUUAUUUUCUCUUUUUACCUUUUCCUCAAUUAUGUGUGUGUGACCAAAUUUGGUCCAAAUUUUUUUAGUCCAUGCAAGUAUUUCUCGAUCAUUAUUACCUAUAUAGAAUGAACAAAAUAAAGACUAGAAUCAAAACAAUGGAUGCUUUAUGGUCUGUUUUCAUUACUUCCCGAUUCAUUGUUCGCAGUGGAUAACUUAUGCUCGUAGUGGUUGUGAUUGUAGGAGGCAUUCUAUCUAUUUUUUGUUGAAUUUGUAAUUUGUUAGGUUAGUCUUUUUCAGUAGAGAUAGUUUAUUUAGAUUAGCUUUUUUGUUGAAUAUUGUUGCCUAUAUAUGUUGUCGAAUGAUCUGUUGUGAUUAUUAGCUUCUACUGUAAUUCAUGUACUUUUUUUGGAAAGAUCAUGAUCAUGUUAUAAGUUGGGAUCUGGGAGUAGCUCUUUAGGAUAACCAACAUUCAAAUGAAUACAAACAAUGGUCACUCACCUAAAUACUUACCAUAUGUCAGAACUUCAAAAGUUUGUGUUAGUAACACUGUCGUAAUGCUUUGGGUUCCAUUAGCAAGUAAUCAUAACUGAUAUUUAUAGAAUGCCUUAAAGACUCAUUUUAUUGCUUCAUUGUGAUUUUCUAUUCAGAACUGAUAUUUAUUUUUUAUCACCUAACAUGCAUCGUGGAUUAACCUUUAGAGGGAUACCUAAUCAUUCUAAUAUGUAGUUGGUGUUUUUGCAUGGACAAAGCUAAUGACACAAGUAAGGAGUUCAAGAGGAAAGUCUAGAGAGACAAUAUGGCAAUAUAGUUUGAC
rnacentral:lncRNA from 1 species